UACGAAGGGUGCAAGCGUUACUCGGAAUUACUGGGCGUAAAGCGUGCGUAGGUGGUUUGUUAAGUCUGAUGUGAAAGCCCUGGGCUCAACCUGGGAAUUGCAUUGGAUACUGGCAGGCUAGAGUGCGGUAGAGGGUAGUGGAAUUCCCGGUGUAGCGGUGAAAUGCGCAGAUAUCAGGAGGAACACCGGUGGCGAAGGCGGCAUCCUGGACCGGUAUUGACGCUGAGGCGCGAAAGCCAGGGGAGCAAACGGG
rnacentral:rRNA from 1 species